rnacentral:rRNA from 1 species
UACGUAGGGGGCGAGCGUUGUCCGGAUUUAUUGGGCGUAAAGAGCGUGUAGGCGGCCAGGUAGGUCUGCUGUGAAAACUCGAGGCUCAACCUCGAGACGUCGGCGGAAACCAUCUGGCUAGAGUCCGGAAGAGGAGAGUGGAAUUCCUGGUGUAGCGGUGAAAUGCGUAGAUAUCGGGAGGAACACCAGUGGCGAAGGCGAUCUUCUGGACGGAUACUGACGCUGAGGCGCGAAAGCUAGGGGAGCAAACGGG